AGGUUAAUGAAAUGCAUGCGGGUGAUAGAUGAUGAAAUAUGCUCUCGUGCCAAGGAGUAUCUUACAGUCCACAAACUGUUUACCACCCGGGCUGAUCUCUAUCGAGUAGUAUAUACGCAUGCAAAAGUUAAGGCAAUGGAGCUCAUGUUUGUAGAUGCACUUCUAAAAGCAAACAGUUUUCUGAAAAGAAGAGUUUUAGAGAUUGAGGUUGAAGGAAUUCAUACUCCUACCUCUUCAACACAAGUAAUAUGCAUGGCCCACC